ACGUAGGGGGCGAGCGUUAUUCGGAAUUACUGGGUGUAAAGGGUAUGUAGGCGGCCCUUCAAGUCGCGUGUCAAAGUCCAGUGCUCAACGCUGGGUGUGCGCGCGAUACUGACGAGCUUGAGGACGGGAGAGGUGAGCGGAAUUCCCGGUGUAGUGGUGAAAUACGUAGAUAUCGGGAGGAACACCAGCGGCGCAGGCGGCUCACUAGCCAGUUUCUGACGCUAAGAUGCGAGAGCGUGGGGAGCAAACAG
rnacentral:rRNA from 1 species